UGUCUACAGCAGAUAAUUCUCCUGAUUGU
rnacentral:piRNA from 1 species